UCAAAAGUACUGCCCAACAGUAAGAGCCCUCUAGUCUUAACAUCAGGCUUCCUGCCCUUUGGGGAAGAUUAUUGUAGAAGGAAUUCCUGCAUUGGGAACUGUUAGCCACUGGGCACACAGUAGGAUUUUCAUAAAGAUCUCUCUAAAUGACUGAAUGGAAGCGAAGGGAUCAGCCAUGGCUCACUCACGGACCUAUACAAGAUCUCCUUACAGGUCUUGCCCCGAAGAAGGAUAACGACACCCAAAGCACGGACACUUUUCUUCUCCUAAGGACCCCUUGGGGAAUACAAGAGAGCGGAAGCCUUGGAGAGAGUGCUGCAGACUGUGUAAAGUGGGACACUCACAAGCAGUGUGAGGGGCCCGGGGCUGCUCUGCCACCAGCAUCUGUCACCACAGUGAUUCCCGGGUUGAGUGGGUGGCCAGGACAUCCUUGGUCAAAGGUCUGGACAAGGAGCUCCAUCCCAUUUAGAACCACUCAAACCCCCUUCCGCCUCAUUUGUAGAAGCAGCAUCGGGAAGUGCUACAGAUUGCCACCUGCUAGCUCAGCGAAGUCGCCCUCCCAUUAAACCCUUAAACAGCUUCCUUAGAAAACAGCAAGAAGGUCUCAUGUUGU